AAAGUCAGAGGAUCGAAGACGAUCAGAUACCGUCCUAGUUCUGACCAUAAACUAUGCCAACUACAGUUGUGAAGAUAAAGCAAUUUAUUCUCGCUAGAAGUUACCGGGAAACCAUAAGUUUAUGGGUUCCGGGGGAAGUAUGGUUGCAAAGCUGAAACUUAAAGGAAUUGACGGAAGGGCACCACCAGGAGUGGAGCCUGCGGCUUAAUUUGACUCAACACGGGAAAUCUCACCCGGUCCGGACACUGUGAGGAUUGACAGAUUGAUAGCUCUUUCUUGAUUCGGUGGGUGGUGGUGCAUGGCCGUUCUUAGUUGGUGGAGCGAUUUGUCUGGUUAAUUCCGAUAACGAACGAGACUCUGGCCUACUAAAUAGUGUAGUUGUGUUUAAUCGCAAAUACAUAACUUCUUAGAGGAAUAAAUAGCGUUUAGCUAAAUGAAAUGGAGCAAUAACAGGUCUGUGAUGCCCUUAGAUGUCCGGGGCCGCACGCGCGCUACAAUGGCAGUAACAGCGAGUUUUUUCCUAGCUAGAAAUGGCCGGGUAAUCUGCUGAAACACUGUCAUGUCAGGAAUAGUGGAUUGAAAUUUUUCCACUUGAACGAGGAAUUCCUAGUAAGUACAAGUCACUAGCUUGUGCUGAUUACGUCCCUGCCCUUUGUACACACCGCCCGUCGCUACUACCAUUGAAUGGUUUAGUGAGAUUGUUGGAUUCUAUCUAAAAAUGGAACUUUUAUGACCGGGAAAAGACACUAAACUUGAUNNUUUAAGAANNUAAAANNNNUAACAAGGUUUCC
rnacentral:rRNA from 1 species